CCUACGGGAGGCAGCAGUGGGGAAUUUUGGACAAUGGACGCAAGCCUGAUCCAGCCAUUCCGCGUGCAGGACGAAGGCCUUCGGGUUGUAAACUGCUUUUGUACAGAACGAAAAGGUCUCUAUUAAUACUAGGGGCUCAUGACGGUACUGUAAGAAUAAGCACCGGCUAACUACGUGCCAGCAGCCGCGGUAAUACGUAGGGUGCAAGCGUUAAUCGGAAUUACUGGGCGUAAAGCGUGCGCAGGCGGUUAUAUAAGACAGAUGUGAAAUCCCCGGGCUCAACCUGGGAACUGCAUUUGUGACUGUAUAGCUGGAGUGCGGCAGAGGGGGAUGGAAUUCCGCGUGUAGCAGUGAAAUGCGUAGAUAUGCGGAGGAACACCGAUGGCGAAGGCAAUCCCCUGGGCCUGCACUGACGCUCAUGCACGAAACGACGGUGGGGAGGACGAAACGAAGGUAGUUAGUACGUACCCGUACGGUACGUACCGACCGACCCGUAAACCGUAACGUAGUACUACGUUAGGUUGGUUGGGUUCGUUCUACUCGU
rnacentral:rRNA from 1 species